ensembl:snRNA U6 U6 spliceosomal RNA
GAAUGUCAUGGCCCCUGUGCAAGGAUGACACACAAGUUCGUGAAGCAUUCCAUAUUUUA